rnacentral:rRNA from 1 species
GACGAACGCUGGCGGCGUGCUUAACACAUGCAAGUCGAACGGAAAGGCCUGCUUUCCCUUGUGGAUUGCGGGUACUCGAGUGGCGAACGGGUGAGUAACACGUGAGUGGUCUGCCCCCAACUUGGGUAUAAGCCUGGGAAACUGGGUCUAAUUCCCGAUAGGACUGCAGGGUGGUGCCUGUGGUGGAAAACGAUUUUCUAGUGGUUGGGGAUGAGCUCGCGGCCUAUCAGCUUGUUGGUGGGGUAAUGGCCUACCAAGGCGGCGACGGGUAGCCGGCCUGAGAGGGUGGAGCGCCCCAUUGGGACUGAGAUACGGCCCAGACUCCUACGGGAGGCAGCAGUUGGGAAUAUUGCCCAAUGGGCGGAAGCCUGAUGCAGCGACGCCGCGUGGGGGAUGACGGCCUUCGGGUUGUAAACUCCUUUCGACCGCGAGGAAGCCACCUGGUUGGAAGGGUGGUGACGGUAGUGGUAGAAGAAGCACCGGCUAACUACGUG